AGAUCCUCCUCCUGGGGUGAAGUUUGAAAGCAUGUUAGCUCCAGGUCUAUGGUUUCAUAAUGCAGUAUACAGGGGAAGCUUUCCUAACUACUAGUAAAUGUGGUUAAUCCGUAUCAUGCUUCAGGUCUUCAUUCAUUUUAGUUUAGUUAACUGUUCUAAAUUCUAAGUCAACCCAGAUUACGAAGAUUGAUGAAUAUCAUCAGCCUCCACACCAUCUCAAACAACUGGAUAUUUGAGAGCAUCUGAAUUUUUCCAUGAAUUUUCAUCUCCAAAAUUCCAGACGUUUGGCAGUCGGUGGGCAAAACCAGGACAGGAAAAGAGAUGCAGACGCAGAGAAUGACCUGUGGACAAAAGAGGGGAAGGAGACAAUGGGACAAAUGGAGAGAGAAGCACUGACAUGUAUAUCCUUUCCUCAACACUUCCCUAAUGAUUUUCUGCUCCUGAGUAAGAAGAGGACACUUGAUCCUGUCACGGACACACUUAACAACCGUGGAGGCGCCAAGGGCCCAGAUGAUGUGGAGUUUUGUUUCAGCGUCUCAGUGGGAUGCUCAGUCCACAGCAUGAACCCCUAGGACUUGACCGGGGCACAGGCCACAUGUGGACUUCGGUGUGGCCCCACUCUCCUUGGUAUAAAAGUAAACAGUUCUCAUACCAGGGGUCAGGGCAGACUGAUUUGAUUCGAGGCUGUGUCUCAAGUCAGCCUAGGAUGGUGUGCCAAAUGUAACCAUUUUCACUGCCUCUAUCCCCAAAAGAAGAAAAGAAAUAGAAACUUCUAUUUGUGGAGAUUAGAAAGAACUCUCUAUGUAUUAACAACAUGAGCCCUAAUCCUCUGCCAUAUAUAUUGCAGGUACCUCCCAUUCUUUUCAGGUGCCUGUUUGCUUUAUUUGUGGUAUUUUUUUAAACUUGAAAAUGUUUUCCCCUUUUUUAUAGCAAAAUCUAGCAAACUUCCUCAUUAUGACCCCCCCCCCCCCCCCCGCCGCCCUGGCUUUGGAAUUAUAUAUAGAAGUCUCUUCUGCUCUAAGUAGGCUAAUAAUCAUACAUAAUAACCAUUUCUCUUAGGAAUUCCCUGGCAGGCCAGGGGUUAGGACUCGGCACUUCUACUGCCAAGGGCCUCAGUUCAAUCCCUGGUCAGGGAACUAAGAUCUUACAAGCUGCAUGGCAAAAAGAAAAAAAGCUAUAAAGCCAUAAUCAUCUCUCUGUGGAAUUAUCUUGAGUUGAGAUUUAAAAAAAGAAAACUUAGCUUUUCAGUGUAAAAUUAAGGUGGUACAUAGAAUCCCUCCAUAAUAGUGCUACAAGGGCACCAACUUAGCUUGGCCAUGAUUCCAGGGCAAACAAACCAGUCCCAGACUGGGGUGUCAAGGGUCUUGACCCUGGGAGGGAAGAUGGAACUAUCACCUCUGUUUCUGCUCCAGAUCCUACAGACAGCAGAACAUCUAACCCUGCAGACACUGUAAUAAAAAGUGGGGCCUAGCUGCUCACUGCUCAAAAGCCAAUAAAGAGGCAAGGUUGGUGGAAAGGAAAGCUUGCUUUAUUUUGGAUGCUGGCAAACUGGUGAGGCAGGGGGACGAAGGCCCAAAGGCUGACUCCCCCCACCUGACAACCAGCGGGCAAGAGCUUUUACAGGUGGAGGGAGGGGGCUCCAUGUAGAAACGACACAGUCAGUGGUGAUGAUCAUCUUGAAAUCGGUCAUCAGUGGUCUGACCAGUUUCUUCUUGAUCAUUUUAAGUACAGCAAAUCUUUAGUUCCUGGGUUCCCAUUUCUUUGAGGCCAAUUCUCAGAACUGUUGCAGCUUAUGUUGUGGCUACAGUCUGAUCACAGUAGAGUUAACUUCUUCCACCUGGGGGAGGUUUCCGUGUCUAUAAGACAGCUCACAGGAUAUGGCUCAGAAUAUUAUCUAUAGCCUUUAAGGAGGAAAGAAAGGCCCUUGACUUUGCUUACUGGCCAAAAUAUUAUUGUUUUGUCCUAUUCAAC
ensembl:lncRNA